UACGAGGGGGGGCGAGCGUUGUUCGGAAUUAUUGGGCGUAAAGGGCGCGUAGGCGGUGCGGUAAGUCACCUGUGAAACCUCUGGGCUUAACUCAGAGCCUGCAGGCGAAACUGCCGUGCUGGAGUGUGGGAGAGGUGCGUGGAAUUCCCGGUGUAGCGGUGAAAUGCGUAGAGAUCGGGAAGAACACCGGUGGCGAAGGCGGUUCUCUGGGCCUUACCUGACGCUGAGGAGCGAAAGCGUGGGGAGCGAACAGG
rnacentral:rRNA from 1 species